rnacentral:rRNA from 1 species
GAUGAACGCUGGCGGCGUGCCUAAUACAUGCCAGUCGAGCGAACAGACGAGGAGCUUGCUCCUCUGACGUUAGCGGCGGACGGGUGAGUAACACGUGGAUAACCUACCUGUAAGACUGGGAUAACUUCGGGAAACCGGAGCUAAUACCGGAUAAUAUAUUGAACCGCAUGGUUCAAUAGUGAAAGACGGUUUUGCUGUCACUUAUAGAUGGAUCCGCGCCGCAUUAGCUAGUUGGUAAGGUAACGGCUUACCAAGGCGACGAUGCGUAGCCGACCUGAGAGGGUGAUCGGCCACACUGGAACUGAGACACGGUCCAGACUCCUACGGGAGGCAGCAGUAGGGAAUCUUCCGCAAUGGGCGAAAGCCUGACGGAGCAACGCCGCGUGAGUGAUGAAGGUCUUCGGAUCGUAAAACUCUGUUAUUAGGGAAGAACAAAUGUGUAAGUAACUAUGCACGUCUUGACGGUACCUAAUCAGAAAGCCACGGCUAACUACGUG